rnacentral:rRNA from 1 species
UACGUAGGGUGCGAGCGUUACUCGGAAUUACUGGGCGUAAAGCGUGCGCAGGCGGCUAGUGAAGUCUGGUGUGAAAGCCCCGGGCUUAACCUGGGAAUUGCAAUGGAAACUGCAAGGCUAGAGUUUGGCAGAGGGGGGUAGAAUUCCACGUGUAGCAGUGAAAUGCGUAGAUAUGUGGAGGAACACCGAUGGCGAAGGCAGCCCCCUGGGUCAAAACUGACGCUCAUGCACGAAAGCGUGGGGAGCAAACAGG